AAUAACGAUAAAUGUGUAUGUUCCAGGCAAUAAUUUAAAAUAUUUGUGAAACUUAUCGUUUUGCGCUAAAAUACAUCAAUGUGUGUGAAAUUCGUUGUCAUUGCUUUUGUUUUGAACAUCAUAUUCGUGCCUGCCGGUGGAAAAAUUAGAGCGACAUACGGACAAGUAAGAUGAUCAUCGUUUAAACAAAUGGUUUAUUUUCUUGUACAAGCAGCCGUGGCCCGAGCAGCGCAAAUCGUGGCAGAGAAUUAUAAGUAAUAAGGGAAAUAAUAGUGCGAUAAGAAACUGGAGCUCGGGGAAAACUAUAAUUUACGUCUCUACGCAGCACGUACGCAUGUGUGGGUGCAUUUGCGAUUGUGGCCUAAGCAGCGGCCCGAAAAACCUUACCAAACCUUUUUUUAUUUUACGCUUACAUCAACGUUAUGCCACAAUCACGUGCCGCCGCAGCUGCAGCUACUGG